AAUCAAAGUAAAAAUUUCCAUUAAUUUGUUCAUUCAAUUAAAUGAACAAUCACCCUCUAGAAUAGACAACUCAAAUUUGAAUCUUAAAUUAAAAAAAAAUUGAAACAUACUUUUGCAUACUAUUGCCAGACCACACAUCUUUUACAAAGGGGUGGCGCGACUUCUACAACAAUUUUCCGCCCUUUAUUGAGCAAAAUUUUGUUCCUACACACUAUGUACAUUUACCUAUAAGCAUAAGCUUCAAUCCUUCAUUGUCUUCUGUUUAACUUCUAUAUGCUGACAGUGUAAAAUGUAACACAAUUCUCUAUCUGUCUGAAAAGUAACUACCACCGUUAUUAUCAGCAGGUGUAUCAAAUGUAGUUAGGAUUACCAAUCCAGUCAUUGUAUUCGAUUAAUUGUUCAGAUGCAUCUGUCAAAAUUGUGUUUCGUUGAUAGGAUCUUAUCAUUGGUUGUUGCUGCUGAUGAACAUUUGGAUAUUGAUCCACCAUUGGUUCUCCUUGAGUUAGUAGUGCUGGCUCAUUAACUAGACCAUCAACUUCCUCUAAAGAACUCCAAUUGGUAUAAGCCUCUUUCACCAAAUUCUGGAUAUAUGCCUUUUGUAUCCCAGUUAAGUCAUGAGUAGGGUAAAUUUGCCCAUCAAUAACUGCCCUAACAACUUCACAAAUCGGAGUAAGGAUUAGAACGUAGUUUGAGCCACGGGCCAUGAAUAACUUCGAGCCCAUCUCACAAGUUUUUGCAUGCUUGUAUGUCACUUCCCACAUUUUAUCAGACAUUCCAGUUCCCAGUAUAGUUCUGAUUUGUUGUGUGUCAAUAGUAGCUAACUUCAAGAAAUCUUGUACAGUGUUGAUGCCUUUUGAAGAGAGCUUUUUGCGGAAAGUUCCAUCUUUUCCAAUCUUCUCAAGACGCCACACUUCAUCUCCUAGUGCUGGUGGGUAAUGUUUUUUGUACAAUUCUCCGCGGUGAUCUUUAACCACAAACGAUUCAGUAACGGCUUCUAUAAUUCGAACAGAAGUUUGAUUGUUUCCAAUUUGAACCACUUUUGCGCCAAUUCUGAAUUUCCGGCUCCGAAUCCAGCUCGAAUUGUCAGUAAACUCGAUUUCCCCAACGGGAACGACGCCUUCACGCAUCGUGAAAUUCAGUUCGCCGGUAAGCAAUGGCCUCUUUCCGGUUCUCUCCUUAACCACGCGUUUGUCGAAUUCUUCGCGAGACCAAUUCGUUUCAGUUUCUCCGGACGGGAAAUCUCCGUCGAGUACGACGAGUUCUACUUUGAUAGGGUAAGGUAAAGUCGUCGGAACCAUGCCUUCGCCGCUCGUAUCCACCAGAAGAAUUUGAAGACUCUGACCGUCGCCGGCGACGACUUUGCUGCUGGUAAAUAUUGGUUUAGAGAGCUUUUUGUUGAAAAUGAGACGAAGAUUCGAUGGUUCUAAUGCUUUGAUUCUAAGCGAAGGAGAUCUCGUUAUUGAAAGACAUGAAUAACGCCUUAGUCCCUUCUCCACUUCCUCAACAACCACUCGACGGAGCAUCGGUUCCAAAGCAGAAGACACGUUCUCUAGGAAAUUCGCCUUCAUUGCUUCCUUAAUAACAGAAGCGAAAGAAGGUCUCAUGCGUUUGUAAUUCGGUUGGUUUGGAUCCGGAUUAGAAUUAUCUAAAAACCGUUUAGCUGCUGCCAUUUCUGUAAUGAGGAGUAAAUUUUCA
rnacentral:misc_RNA from 1 species